rnacentral:rRNA from 1 species
CAGUACCGUGAGGGAAAGGCGAAAAGAACCCCGGCGAGGGGAGUGAAAAAGAACCUGAAACCGUGUACGUACAAGCAGUGGGAGCCCCACCACUAAGCCAGUGGUGAACUCCACAUACGCAUCCUUUGCUGAGGAGACGGUUAACGGAGCGAAAGCGACGUUCAACCUCAAAACAAGCAGAGGGGGCUUAGUGGUGGGGUGACUGCGUACCUUUUGUAUAAUGGGUCAGCGACUUAUAUUCUGUAGCAAGGUUAACCGAAUAGGGGAGCCGGAGGGAAACCGAGUCUUAAUUGGGCGUUAAGUUGCAGGGUAUAGACCCGAAACCCGGUGAUCUAGCCAUGGGCAGGUUGAAGGUUGGGUAACACUAACUGGAGGACCGAACCGACUAAUGUUGAAAAAUUAGCGGAUGACCUGUGGCUGGGGGUGAAAGGCCAAUCAAACCGGGAGAUAGCUGGUUCUCCCCGAAAGCUAUUUAGGUAGCGCCUCGUGAAUUCAUCUCCGGGGGUAGAGCACUGUUUCGGCUAGGGGGCCAUCCCGGCUUACCAACCCGAUGCAAACUGCGAAUACCGGAGAAUGUUAUCACGGGAGACACACGGCGGGUGCUAACGUCCGUCGUGAAGAGGGAAACAACCCAGACCGCCAGCUAAGGUCCCAAAGUCAUGGUUAAGUGGGAAACGAUGUGGGAAGGCCCAGACAGCCAGGAUGUUGGCUUAGAAGCAGCCAUCAUUUAAAGAAAGCGUAAUAGCUCACUGGUCGAGUCGGCCUGCGCGGAAGAUGUAACGGGGCUAAACCAU